rnacentral:rRNA from 1 species
AGAGUUUGAUCAUGGCUCAGAUUGAACGCUGGCGGCAUGCUUUACACAUGCAAGUCGAGCGGCAGCGCGGGGCAACCCUGGCGGCGAGCGGCGAACGGGUGAGUAAUGCAUCGGAACGUACCCUGGAGUGGGGGAUAACGCCGCGAAAGCGGCGCUAAUACCGCAUAUGCUCUGAGGAGGAAAGUGGGGACCGCAAGGCCUCACGCUCUGGGAGCGGCCGAUGUCCGAUUAGCUAGUUGGUGGGGUAAAGGCUUACCAAGGCGACGAUCGGUAGCUGGUCUGAGAGGAUGAUCAGCCACACUGGGACUGAGACACGGCCCAGACUCCUACGGGAGGCAGCAGUGGGGAAUUUUGGACAAUGGGGCAACCCUGAUCCAGCCAUGCCGCGUGAGUGAAGAAGGCCUUCGGGUUGUAAAGCUCUUUUGGUCGGGAAGAAAGCGCCUUGCCUAAUACGCGAGGUGGUUGACGGUACCGGCAGAAUAAGCACCGGCUAACUACGUG